CACUUUCGGCAAUGGAUCACUUGUCUCUCGCAUCGAUGAAGAACGCAGCGAAAUGCGAUAAGUAAUGUGAAUUGCAGAAUUCAGUGAAUCAUCGAAUCUUUGAACGCACCUUGCGCUCCCUGGUAUUCCGGGGAGCAUGCCUGUUUGAGUGUCAUUAAAUUCUCAACCUUUCCCGCUUUUACUAGCUUGGUUAGGCUUGGAUGUGGGGGUUGCGGGCUUCUCAGAAGUCGGCUCUCCUUAAAUGCAUUAGUGAAACCUUUGUUGACCGCCUCUGGUGUGAUAAUUAUCUACGCCGUUGAAAGUCUUCAUUUAUGAGGUUCUGCUUCUAACCGUCCCUUAGGGGACAACUCUUGACAUUUUGACCUCAAAUCAGGCAAGACUACCCGCUGAACUUAAGCAUAUCAAUAAGCGGAGGAU
rnacentral:misc_RNA from 1 species